rnacentral:lncRNA from 1 species
CGCGAGUUCAUAAUUAUUUGGUAGAAAAAUAAAAUGCGUAUCGUCAAAACUUUUUUGUAAUGACCUCAUAGAGUGAUUAGCUAAUGUGCCCACUCAACUACUCAUAAGUGCAAUAAAAUCUGUUUUAAAAUUAAAUAUAAGAACUCAAAGUUAUUUAACCUUGGCUGUUCGAUGCGAUUGUGGUGAGAGAGAAAAAAGUGCACAAUGGCAUCAGUGGAAUGUAACACCACAUGAGAUCACGCCUCAGUUUCUUAUUCCCCGCCAUUGUUAGUGUUGUGAUGACUAGUUUGCCAAUAUGUUAUAUCAGCGAAUGGGAAAAGGAAUAGUUCUCAAUAGCAUAUUUUUUUUUUUUGCUAACCGAGUAUCCUACCUCCACCAAGGUGGUCCAGACUAGAGACCGAAGUGAGCAUGGACGCUGCCAGGGCGUGACCAUGUGGCUCACCGUGUAACGGUCUUCGGUCUCAGAUACUACAGCCUAUAUGUAAAUUUCGCAGUGACCAAGAUUCGAACCAAGGCGGGCACUCCAGCUGGAGCUCUUAUACACAGUGCCGGCCCUUGCACGAAGCUGACGAAGCAACCGCUUGCGGCCGUAAAAUUUAUAUAUUAAAUCCGGCCACAUGUUACAGAUGUUUUCUGUAGUCCAGUGGUAAACUCAUGUUCACAUAAUCAAAAGAUCAUGGGUUCGACAACCAACAGCCAUGAUUCCACUUUCUACUUGUUCUUUUUAUUUUUUUCUAUUUAAAAAAGUGACCACAAUUUUUUUUUUUGCAUCCA